CGUAUAUUAAAGUUGUUGCAGUUAAAAAGCUCGUAGUUGGAUUUGUGGCGUACGACGGGCUCCGGGCACUUGUUGUCUGAGUAGCUUGUCGUUGCCAUCCUUGGGUGGAAUCUGUGUGGCAUUAGGUUGUCGUGCAGGGGAUGCCCAUCUUUUACUGGGAAAAAAUUAGAGUGUUCAAAGCAGGCUUAUGCCGUUGAAUAUAUUAGCAUGGAAUAAUAAGAUAGGACUUUGUCGCUAUUUUGUUGGUUUGCGCGAUAAGGUAAUGAUUAAUAGGGACAGUUGGGGG
rnacentral:rRNA from 1 species